rnacentral:rRNA from 1 species
CGGAGGGUGCAAGCGUUAUCCGGAUUUAUUGGGUUUAAAGGGUCCGUAGGCGGAUCCGUAAGUCAGUGGUGAAAUCUCACAGCUUAACUGUGAAACUGCCAUUGAUACUGCGGGUCUUGAGUAAGGUAGAAGUGGCUGGAGUAAGUAGUGUAGCGGUGAAAUGCAUAGAUAUUACUUAGGACACCAAUUGCGAAGGCAGGUCACUAUGUCUUAACUGACGCUGAUGGACGAAAGCGUGGGGAGCGAACAGGAUUAGAUACCCUGGUAGUCCACGCCGUAAACGAUGCUAACUCGUUUUUGGGCUUUCGGGUUCAGAGACUAAGCGAAAGUGAUAAGUUAGCCACCUGGGGAGUACGUUCGCAAGAAUG